UGUGAGCCAGUGUCACUCUCGCUCUCCGCACACAUAAUAUUCUCAUGUGACAGGAGAAAGGAGGCCUCCAAAAAUAACCCCGUUACCCUCAGCUCCUUCAGACAGAAGGUUAUGUCCGAGUCCACUCCGGCUUGAAAGUAGUCAAACUCGUCUGGGUGUAAGGACAUCUCAGUGUGCAUCAUCUUCAUGUGAUCUGUCACACAGACUGACUCUCAGGGCGGACAUCGACAGAGUGACUUCCUCCUGAGACGCGUGGAAAUGCUUCACCAUAUUGCCCAGAAGCCUGAAGAAAGAGGAAAACACACGCAGGCAGCUCUGGCUGCUAACUGAUAACAGGUUUUUUUUGUCAAUAUAUAUUCUUGGUUUUGUCUGAAACACAAAACCAACAGGCAGCCAGCAUGUAUUGAUUGUAGAAAAGAAGAGUGAGGCUCUAAUGCUGAAAUGCCAACCUGGCAGGAGCUUUCAGCACAUUGGGACAGAGGUGUGAAGCAAACACUGCCUGCAGCGCCUCACUUUCCAGGAAACGCACAUUGUAGGUUUUUGUUAUGCCUAACUCAAAAACAGAGACAUUUAGAGCACAGUGCCACCAUGUGUUCAAAAUAUAAAUUGCAUGCACACCUAUGAAAUAUGACAUUUUGUCAUUGAUGCCAUUUCCUACCGUGUCUGCAGAAAAACUGAAUGAUCACUCGGUCACUGCCAGUGCUGACUGAUAUCUGACAUUGUUUCACACUGCGCUCAAUAGAAGUCGAACAACGGAAAAGUGGCAGCACAGACUUAAAAACAAAGAGAUGCUGUUUAAUCAUAAAGUCUUGAAAGAACGGCAUGAUGUGUAGCCCUAAUUUUACUGAACCGUCACUUGUGACCAUGAUGUUUCUGCCUACAAAUGAAAAAUCAGCAAUGCCGAUAUACCUUCAUUACCAGUUUGCAUUUGAUUGGUCCACUGUCCUGCUGCCUGACUGAAUCCAGACUGUACUGCUGGAAGAAGAGCGGCGAGAAGAGGAAGCAGGCGUAUGCAGAAUGAGCAGAAUUCACUGAUCUCAGGGCCAACUUUCAGAGGGAGAGAGAGAAAUUAGUGUGGAGGAAGUAAGGUGGUGAACACCUUAACACCUGGAGAUUAUCGAUACAGUGUAUACACACUGGUCACUUUAUUAGUUGCACCUGUUAAACUGCUCAUCAACACAAAUAUCUAAUUAGCAAAUCACAUGACAACAAUGCAACGCUGAAGUUCAAAUCAAUGAUCAGAAUGGGUGAUUGAAGUGACUUUGAAGGUUGCAUGCUUGUUAAUGCCAAAUGUGCUGGUGUACUGUGAUUUGACUGUGACACUGUAGUGUUUACAGAGAAUGGUACAGAAACAAGGAAAUAUCCUGCGAGCAACAGUUCUCUUAAUUAAUGUAUGCAGAGGAGGAUCUCUGCUAGCACCACACACUGAACCUUGAAGCAGAUGUUCCAAGCUGAGAACAGGAAACUGAGGCUAUAAUUUACGAGGGUUCACUGUAUUUGACAAUAAAAAUGUUGCCUGGUCUGAUGAGUCUCGAUAUCUGCUGCAAUAUUCAAAUGGUAGGGUCAGCAGCAUAAUUAACAUGAAAGCAUGGCUCCCUCCUGGCUUCUGUCAACAAUCCAGGUUGAUGGUGGUGGUGUAAUGGUGUAGGGGAUAUUUUCCAUGCCCCUGAGUACUAAAUAAGCAUGGUUUAAAUGCUACAGCCUACCUGAGAACAUCACAAUGUUCAACCGCAACUCGAUCCAAUAAUAGAGCUUCUUUGGCAUGUGGUGACUUGAUAUUAUUCAAUCAUUUUCGACACAUUAUAGGUCAACAAGCCAUUUACAACAGUUUAA